UUACAUUUUCCCCUACAAAUAUAGCCUGCGGUAAACGUAACGAAAUGUGAAGACAUACUUUUGUUGACUCUGAACCCAACUAAAAUACGUAAAGUAUUCGCUAAUCGUACACAAUUCAUAUUAUGUAAAAUUAUAUAGCAAUACACUAAUAUUGGUUGCUGAGUGUGUUUACUCACAGUUGUAAAAUAUAUCAUUAUUCGCUACUGUCUGCUGUGUCAGCAUUCAACAUCCAAAAAAUACUAUUAUGGUACAUUUGGUGGACUUACCUUGGAUGGAUGCGAUCUAUGCACAUAUUUUUUGCCACUUGAACUUACAGGAUUUGUUUCGCUUGCGAUGCGUUUCAAAAGAACUUUGCCUUCUUGUUGACAAAUAUUUCAUUCCGUGGCAAUCGUUGGACCUCUCUGACUAUGUUUGUAUUGGACCUGCUGCUUUUGGAAACACGUUGGUUCAACUAUGGAUGGACUAGGUUCUCUUUCUAAUCAUGUCAUAAAAGAGAGGCGCUGGACUACUUAGUUUGAUCAUUGAUCAACAUACUAAAAAAAUACAUAUGUGGACUCAUCUGAUCUAUUUUUUGCAUUGCUUCCAAAUAUACAAUUCAACCAUUGAUCUGUUUCUUGAGACCUGUUAUCCACUGAAAACAAUUUUUGGCGAGUUAUUCUGGCAGUUUCUCAUGUAUAAUUUUUUUUCUUUUUCACACAAGGUAUUGGUGCAAUCUUGUAACAACUUGAAAUACGUUAAUCUAAAAAAGAACAACUGGCUUGACAGUAUUCAACUCAUGUUAUUGUUACACAAGCAUCAUAACUUGGCAGUGUUAGAUCUGAGCAGUUGUAACAAUGACUACAUGCAUCACGGUUCCAUUGAUAUUUCAAAGUGUGAGAAUCUCACUUCAAUAAAACUACAGAAUUGCACAUGGGUUACUGAACGGUUCUUAUUGAACUUAGCACAAUGCACUAAAUUGCAAAAGCUGAUAUUGGCAGACUGUUAUCAAGUAUCAGAUCAAGCAGUAAUUUCUCUUUGCCAAAACUCUGGAAGAUUGUCACAUAUUUCGUUGGAGAACUUGACCAUCUCGGACCAAACACUUUAUGCAGCAGCACUGUACUGCAAAACCAUACAAGAAUUUUGUCUGAGGAGAUGCUUAAGGAUCACCGAUGCAGGGUUACUAUCACUGAGAUCGCUGCCAUUUCUUACGAAACUUGAAGUGAUCGGUUGUGUUCGUGUGACGGAACGUGGUUUGGCACCCAUGCGAGGCAAAGUGGAGAUAGAUCUACCACCUAAACCCAUUUGCCAGCCGCAACCUUUGAGCCUUCAAGUUUAGACUCUGGAAUCCAUAUUAAGUAAAGUUAAUUUUAAUAUUUUCAAGGAACCAUUUCUAGAUUUAGUCUGACCAAAGUAUUUCGUAUGGAAAUUUUCGUAAAUGGGUCAAACUUCCCAAUUACUAUGAAUAAUAUUAUUUGGUUGAUUUAUCCAUGCAAAUGCCUGAAAUAACUAAGGCAAUUCAUGUCAAUUAUAAACCGUUUAAAGUUUCUAUUAGAAAUUCAUUGCAUGUGAAUAUAAUUGAACACUAUUAUUUGAAAACAAGUCAAGCAGAUUACUUGUUUGACUAUGCUUGUAAAAAAAAAAAAAAAGAAAUGUACUAAUAAAAUUAUGAAUCAUUCCUGUGUCGAAGAAUGUUUACGCGCAUUGUAAAUAU